CUCCAUGACAAUAACCACAGAGCCCUCCUCCGCCAAGGGGACGCCUCCGUGGGCAGGGCUACAAAGUGUCAGUCCCUCCACUGACCCCUGACCUCUAACAGGACAGUCUAGGCUGUCAUGUAGCUCACUCACCCCCUCCUCUCCUCCAUCCCCUUCUCCUCCUCUCUUCACUCCACCCGCCUCCUCCCUUUCUCCCUCCCUCUCCUCCUCCUCCUCCUCUUCCUCCUCUGGCUCCACUUGACAGCGACACACUUCAAUGCCCGAGUCCCCAGUUAAACGACGGUGGCGGUACUGGCUCUCGUCUGCACUCACCUCCUCCUCCUCCUCUUCAUCACUCCUCCAAGUAUGGGGGCCAGGCUGGUACACAUCCACACAAGGGGAGAAGAGUGUCUGCUUUGGGGGCGACUGGGUGGGCCUGGGGGAGACAGGAGGAGGAGAGGAGGAGGAGGAUGAGUGAGAGGAGAGAGGAGGAGAGGAGGGAGAGGGGACCGGCGGAGGAGACAAUGGAAAGGAGGGAGGAGGAGAUGAAGAGAUGGAUACACAGACUGGAGGAGGAGAAGAGGGGGAGGAGAGAGGAGGAGAGCAGUUGGAGGAGGAAGGAGGAAAUGAGAGAGGAUGAGUAGGGGUGGAGGAGACAUGAGGAGGAUUAGGAGGGGAGGAGACAGGAGAAGAGGAGGGGGAGGAGAGAGGUGGAAAGGAGGGGGAUGACAGAGGAGGAGAGGAUGGGGAGAUCACAGCUGAGUCUAGAACUCUAGAAGAGACUGGAGCUGGAGAGGUCAGGGUCAUGGUCGGGGUUACAGGGGUCACAGUGGGGGCAGAGAUAGGGUCUGUAGUAACACCAGAGUCCAGGGAAGAGUGUGGGGUUGAUACUGAGACAGGCUCUGUCGUUACUCCAGAGUGUGGAGUUGAAACAGGGUCUGUAGUUAUUCCAGAGUGUGGGGUUGAAACUGGGUCUGUAGUUAUUCCAGAGUGUGGGGUUGAGACCGGGACAGGGUCUGUAGUUAUUCCAGAGUGUGGGGUUGAGACCGGGACAGGGUCUGUAGUUAUUCCAGAGUGUGGAGUUGAGACCGGGACAGGGUCUGUCGUUAUUCCAGAGUGUGGGGUUGAGACCGGGACAGGGUCUGUAGUUAUUCCAGAGUGUGGGGUUGAGACCGGGACAGGGUCUGUAGUUAUUCCAGAGUGUGGGGUUGAGACCGGGACAGGGUCUGUCGUUAUUCCAGAGUGUGGGGUUGAAACAGGGUCUGUAGUUAUUCCAGAGUGUGGGGUUGAGACUGAGACAGGCUCUGUCGUUAAUCCAGGGUGUGGGGUUGAAACACGGUCUGUAGUUAUUCCAGAGUGUGGGGUUGAGACUGAGACAGGCUCUGUCGUUAAUCCAGGGUGUGGGGUUGACACAGAGACAGGGCCUGUAGUAAGGAGUUUGUUGUGACCAGGGCUGACAGUCCCAGCAAUAGGAGAUUCUGUUGGUGUGGCAACUAAAGGAUGUUCUGUAGGUGUGGCAACAAGAGGAUGUUCUGUUGGCGUGGGAACAAUAGGC
ensembl:lncRNA